rnacentral:rRNA from 1 species
CCUACGGGUGGCAGCAGUAGGGAAUAUUGCUCAAUGGGGGAAACCCUGAAGCAGCAACGCCGCGUGGAGGAUGAAGGUUUUCGGAUUGUAAACUCCUUUUGUUAGAGAAGAUAAUGACGGUAUCUAACGAAUAAGCACCGGCUAACUCCGUGCCAGCAGCCGCGGUAAUACGGAGGGUGCAAGCGUUACUCGGAAUCACUGGGCGUAAAGAGCGCGUAGGCGGGAUAGCAAGUCAGAGGUGAAAUCCUAGGGCUUAACCAUAGAACUGCAUUUGAAACGGUUAUUCUAGAGUAUGGGAGAGGUAGGUGGAAUGCUUGGUGUAGGGGUAAAAUCCGUAGAGAUCAAGAGGAAUACUCAUGGCGAAGGCGACCUGCUAGAACAUAACUGACGCUGAUGCGCGAAAGCGUGGGGAGCAAACAGGAUUAGAUACCCUUGUAGUC